rnacentral:snRNA from 1 species
AGGUGUGAGGGCGAGCUGAGCUGAGCUGUGACACCUGUCACCCCACUGGUCACUUGGGUUUAUCUGGCUGGCUAGGCAGGUGUCCUCUUCCUCCCUCACUGCUCCAUGUGAGUCCCUCUCCAAGCUGUGCACUCAGCUUAGCCAAAGAGGACGGCCUUCUCCGAACAGAGGCAGACGGGUCUUCGGUCGAGGGGAUACAGGUGGCUGCGCUCCCUUGCUGGAACCUGAUUAUAAUGCUGUGAGGAAAUACGUAAAUAAUUUAGGAUUAUAUAAUAAUAUU